CAGGGUGGGCUGGGCGCGGGGGAGGACCCUGUUGCCGCCGUUUGCCUCCUCACCCCGCCCGUGGCGGUGCGGGAGGUUCCCUCCGCGCCGCAUGGUCCCCGGGCUUGCAACGGGAGAGAGUAGCAAGUGAUUAAAAUUGAGUUGCGCUGGAUAUUUGAAGAAGCACAGCUGCCUGGUGAUCUUCUGUCGUCCAGUGGUGUACAAAGAUCCAUGAGAUCAGCGAGCAAGUAGUUCAGUUGAAGAGCCAGAACAGAGACCUAAGCUUGCAAUAGAAGGCAAUACAAUCAUCAAAGCACUGGCUGGGAGCCUCCAACAGUGGUAUGUGACUGGUGGGCCUGGUGUUACUUCCCUCCCCGCCCUUUUUUGGGGGGGGGACACACACCAGAAUCUCUGGAACUUGGGGGAUUCUUCCUCUGUUUUGUAGGGAAUCCAGGAACGAGAAGCUUUCAGAGGUGUUACUUCUGAAACUUCUUUUGACUUUCUAAUGUUCUUAUGGGUUUUUUUUUACUGCCAUUUGUGCUUAACAAGGGCAAAGCUAUGGGACUCGAUGACUUUAAAAUAUAUUGUUCUAUUGGGAUAAAGAGGUAGCUACCACAAAUAUGUGUCUACUAGAUAAGAAUCAGGAGUUUGUUUUUUUAAAAAAUACUCUGUUAGAUCCUCCUGCCAACCUUUAAAACUGUGCAAACAUCUAGUGUAGCAUUUGUGCAUGAAACAUCUUUAAUGGAGUAAUAAUCUCUAGUUAAUAAUUAAAUCUUCAGGAGGUUUUGUAAUUUGUGGAUGCUACAGUAUUUAAUCUCUUUAUGUGAGACUUCUUAAAGAGGAAUAUUCAGAAUUCAAGCUUCAUGAAGGGAAUCCUAGCCUUAUGUAAAGACUAAUUUAACAUACCACAGGUUUAACUUGUUAUUAGUGUGAAGAAUAAAAAUUGGUCUCUCAGACUAAAAAUUAUGCUUUAUUUGCAGUUACAGGUAAAUUUCUUAGGCUGUUGAUUGUCAAACUAUUGUUCAGAGAUGCAUUAAUGAGCAUCACAAGUGCUGAAGUGUGUCAGUUUUCAGUCAAUGACGCUUGGCUGGUUUUAGUCAAUACAGUACUUAACACACUAACGUAUGCAUCAUAUUAAUGGAAGUAUCAUUGUGCAACAUUGGUAUGCUACAGUAAAAAGCAGGCUUUCAUUAUAAGAGAUGAUGAGCUUUUAAAUAAGUCUGUGGGAACGGGAUACCUCCCCCUCUCCACAGUCUGUUUAAAGUUCACGCUUUAAUCAUUUCUCCUUCUCUGUAAGAAUUCAUACACUCCUGUCCCAACACCUGUAUUCAAGAUUUGACAAAUAGUGAAAAAAGUUUUAAUAACUGAACGGAGGGAGGGCUGCCAUGUAGCUCUUUCAUAUGCACAGUUGUACGCUAAGAACUCCAGGGGUGCAAAAUCUUAAGAAAACAGGUAAAUGUCAGAAUACAAUCUGAUGUUAUCUUUCCCAAAGUAAUAUUAUCCUACCUGUUUGAAAUAGAAGGCCUACGUAAAGAGGAUUGUGUAGACUAAUACCAUUGAUUUGGGAUGUCUUCUCUGAAACACUUCAGUUUUGAUUUUUCAAUUACACUGUUGGUGGGAGAUCCAUUUCCUGUUUCAGAGGUUGGUGGUCUUAUUUGUAGAACCAGCAUUGCAGUGCUUGUUUUCUUCUGUAUUGUUCUGUUAAAAAAAAACAAAACAAAAAAAACCAAACCCACAAAAAACCCACAAAAACAAAACCCAAAAAACCCCUCCAAACCUGAAGUUUGCAACCCUUGGCAAGUUGCUAAUGAAUAUCAAAAUGACAUAGCCAUUCUGUAUUUGCCAGCAGUAGAAAUGUAGCCAAUGCUGAUGCAGUGUUCUUUUAGAGCUCUUCUGCAUUGUUAGCACUUUAAGGAAAACCAGCUGAAGACCUGUCCCCUUUUCAAUCUUUGGCAAGUCCACAUCUACUGACAGAAGAAGAGAUGCGUGAAAGUUCACGGUAUCACAAUCCAGCAGUUCAUUGUGCUGCUGGUUACUUUGCUGUUUGAGCCUCAAAUAACUUUUCUGGAAUUGCACAGGAAGUUUUGAAGCAUUUUCUCUGAAAAUCUGCAGCCUACUGACUGCACUAUCCAGUCCUUGCAAUAAGGAAAAGAAAAAAAAAACAAACAAACCAGUAAAAUUGGCCCUUGUAUGGAUGGAGUGAAGGUAGGAUGAGGGGAGAACAGGGGAGAAUUAUUAGGGACAAAAGUAGAAUUAGUACAGCGUAAAGAAGGGACAAGUAUAGAAUUCUGCAUCUUUAAAGGUGCUUUUUUUGCUGGAUUUCCAUUUCUUUGCUCUUAGCUCCCUAAAUAUGAAGCAGGCCAAUAAAAGGUAAAAGGGCAAACUGAGAUCUUUAAAAAGGGAACACUGAUUAUUUUUAAUUCUUCUGUAACUGUUGUUAGAAAGGGGCUUUUAUAUUUUAGCAUUUUGGACCGUUUCUUGAAUGUGUUAAGCACUGGAAUCAAAGUAUUAAUUUGAAGAUAAGGAAUCAUCAAAUACUUUUCUACGAUCUGUAUCUU